rnacentral:tRNA from 3 species
GCGGGUGUAGCUCAGGGGUAGAGCACAACCUUGCCAAGGUUGGGGUCGAGGGUUCGAAUCCCUUCUCCCGCUCCA